rnacentral:lncRNA from 1 species
CACUAAUGGACCUGGGCUGCUGGAACCAGGGUCUUAGGGCUCCCUGGGCACUCACUCCCCUCGGGGGCCUUGGAUCCGGGGUGCCAGUCAGGACACAGAGACUGCAAGUGGCGUCACUCAGCAGGAGGGAGGCAGGCAGGCCAGGAUUGCAUCCAGAGCCGCGGGGCAGCCAAGCCCACUCCCCUUCUGCGGCACUUCCGCCCUGGGACUGCCCCUCACCCGGAGCAAAGGGUGGGUUCUCCCUUCUCAUUAGUUCAAGACCCCGCAGAGCAGAGGGGACGAGACGGGAGGGGCAGCCUGAGAGAGGAGCAGAGAAGGCGCGUGGCCCUCAGCACGCGGUGGCUGUGCCCAUGCGUCCUCCCGGUGGACAGGCACUCUGCCUGCUGCUGCGGUGCGGCUUGUCCUGGUGCCCCAUGGCGUGCGUGGGCCUGUGUCAGGGGCCCCCGGGGUGCAGGGGACUCUCUCUGCCCACGGGCAGUUCUGCACUGUCUCCGAGACACCGGGCUGCGACGUCACCAGCGGACGCUGUGUUUCCCUUGAUACUUUCAGGACUUUGUUUUGCCUUCCUUAAUGCAGGUGGGCUUUGUCCCCCCAAAGGAAGUGAGAAAUAUGACGAACUUGUCCUGGGCCACUCCAGAGGGCAAGUGCUUCCCCAGGGACCUGGGGCACCCUGACCCCACCCACACUCCCUUUCUGGUGUGCAUUGCCAGAGUCUCUGGCUGCCAGUCAUUCCCACUGUCUAUGCCGGUCCUGGUUCCAAUCUGAAGCCCAACAAAUGCAAGCAAGAACUCAAACUUGUCUUUGGGCCACUUUACAACUGUGUGAGCAAGUGGGUGCACACACCUGUGAUUCCAGAGGCUCUGGAGGCUGAUGCAGGAGGAUCGAAACCUGAGGCUGGCCUCCACAACUGACAAGACAAAAACAAGCUUGUGUGCCUGCAGCUCUUCAGUCCCCAGUUCCCAGAGCUGUGGCCACUUCCCUCCAGCCACAGCAGACCAUGACGGAAAGAAGGGAGGACCGAGGGGAUGGGCCCAGGAGAGGAGCCGCCCACACUGCAUGAACAGCCUGGAUCCAUGCACGCAGGAGCAGAGAGCAGGACACAGGGCCACGCCGCCCACGGCCUCCCUCCUCGUUCCUCCCAGCAGACAGCGGCCUGUUCUCACUUCGCGAGAGUCCAAACGUGUUUCCACACCUUUACGCAGAGGCCUGCUCCGAGGGAAGGCUCCAGGGUCACCUGGCCUCAGCCUGGGUGGGCCCUGGCACACCCUGACCGCUGUGGACUACACCAAACGCCUCUGGUGGACACACCUGGCAAAUGGGCUGCAGAUCCACUUCAAGGCUCUGGAUGACCAUUCCACGCUGCCCAGUGAGUGCCCAGUGAGUCCCUGCAGAGCUGCGAGCCCGGCUCCCCAGCUCCAUCACCACACGGGGCCUUGCCGUUGGUGAGAUGGCCCCCUGGGUGGCCAGUGAGACAGAGGCCCCCUGUGGCCCGGGGUGGUGGGUGCUCCGUGGGGUGAGAGGUGUGCAGAACCCUUCCUGCUCCGAGCUCAGGGAGGCUGGGGUGAGCACCUCACCAGGACAGCCAGACGCAGAGAGUGGCCUGCUGCCUGGGAGCCCAGCGCCCGGGCCAGCGCCCGCCUCUGCCCUGUGCAGGCAGCUGCGUGGCUUUGCUGGUGCUGGGCGCUGCUCAAGGAGGCCUCCAGUCUCCCUGCCCAGCCGCGCCCACUCCCACCACGGCGCCUCCUCCUGGCCGCUCCUGACGGUCUGGAAGGGUGGCCCUCGUUGCCCAAGGCCUCCUUCUGGUGGACAUCACCCCCUGUGCAGAGAUGGGUGGCCAGGACAGGGCCGAGACUGAACCCAUAUGGUCAGAAGUGAGAGCCGCGGGUCGGAGCCCAUCCUGGCACGGCCACCCCCGUCCUGCAUCUCUUGGGGCCAGUGGCCUCAUCUGCAGAAGCGGCUUGCCCCUGAGGUUGAGGAGGGACUGUGGACGGUGGGCGGGGCAGGGCUGCUGAGGGCCGCCCCCGAGGCCUCGUCCUGCCCAGCGGGCCUUCUGCCUGCGGUGACCGAUGGUGGUUCUCUCACCCCGGCCUCGUUCUGCUCAGGGUGCUCCCAGCUAGGGCUCCAACACCUAGAGACAAGUGACCCCGGGUUGGACCCUUGGGAGCCGCGGGGCCCCUCCCAGGACUCCCGGGUCCCCAGGAGCACAGGGCCCGGCGGGGAGUCGCAGGGACCCAGGCUGCAGCACCUUCUAGUCCCGUCUCAGCGCAGGUCCCCGGGCCUCCCCGGACCUCGAGAUUCACGUGGGGGAAAGAGCUGGUGGGGGACACGGCAGGCUGGGCACAUGGCUGCCUGUGGCGAAGGGAGUCCAAGGGUGACCCUGUCCUCACGUGGGAUUUUGAUAUUGUGCUCAUGAUGAUGUGUUUUUGUCACUGAUUCUAAUAUUUUAAAAUACUGGAUCAAAAUGCAAUUGCCAUUGAUCACCAAGUUUUUGGUGCCCCUGAAAUGUCACCGCCCUGGUUGGCCCUGCUGAUCCUUCUUUCCCACGGUGGCUCUGGGUUAGAGCUUGCGACCUCAGCUCCUAGGUGCAGCUGGGAACCCAGAGGCCUCUUGUGGCCCCUGGAAACCUGGGCCACGAAGGUCCUGCUGGACCCCAGAAGGGUACUUCGGGCCUGGCUGAGGACAGUUCACCUGGUGACUGGUAGAGCCAUCUUUGGUCACAGACAGAGGUGGCUGCAAAACAGUGACACCCGAGAAGCCUCUGAUGCAGUGCACUCCCUGUGCAACCUUGCACUGCAGUCCUGAUAAAAGGCAGACAGUUGGAUCCCCACACCUGCACUGUCUUUGUCUUCUGCAGCAUGCUGCAGACUGGGGGAUGGGGUGAGGGUGUCAGCAGGUGGCCUUUCAGAUGGCUACUUCACUUAGCAACAUGCACACCAGGGUCCUGGGCCUCCCUGUCCAAAUAACUCGUCCUCCUCCAUGGGUGGACCCCAGCCUGUUCACGCACCUUUCGAAGGAUGGCUUGUUGCCUCUGGCUUUGAGCAAUUGUGAAUGAAGCUUCUCUAACCCCUUCCUGGCAGGGAUUCGUAUGAGCCUCUGUUUAGCUCACUUGGGUAAGGCCGUGGGGGCGGGACCAGGCCUGUGAUCCCAGCAACUUGGGAGGCUGAGGCAGGAGGAUCACAAGUCAAGGCCAGCCUCAGCAAUUUAGCAAGACUCUGUCUCAAAAUAACAUAGAAAGGGCCGGGGUGUG